rnacentral:rRNA from 1 species
GGGCCCGCACAAGCAGCGGAGCAUGUGGUUUAAUUCGAAGCAACGCGAAGAACCUUACCAGGGCUUGACAUCCCGAUGACCGGUACAGAGAUGUACCUUCCCUUCGGGGCAUUGGAGACAGGUGGUGCAUGGUUGUCGUCAGCUCGUGUCGUGAGAUGUUGGGUUAAGUCCCGCAACGAGCGCAACCCCUAUCCUUAGUUGCCAUCAGUUAAAGCUGGGCACUCUAAAGAGACUGCCGGGGAUAACUCGGAGGAAGGUGGGGAUGACGUCAAAUCAUCAUGCCCCUUAUGUCCUGGGCUACACACGUGCUACAAUGGCCUGUAACAGAGGGAAGCGAAGUCGUAAGGCGGAGCAAAACUCAGAAACCAGGUCCCAGUUCGGAUUGUGGGCUGCAACUCGCCCACAUGAAGUCGGAGUUGCUAGUAAUCGCGAAUCAGCAUGUCGCGGUGAAUACGUUCCCGGGCCUU